UACAGAGGUCCCAAGCGUUGUUCGGAUUCAUUGGGCGUAAAGGGUGCGUAGGUGGCGCCGUAAGUCGGGUGUGAAAUUUCGGAGCUUAACUCCGAAACUGCAUUCGAUACUGCGGUGCUUGAGGACUGGAGAGGAGACUGGAAUUCAUGGUGUAGCAGUGAAGUGCGUAGAGAUCAUGAGGAAGACCAGUGGCGAAGGCGGGUCUCUGGACAGUUCCUGACACUGAGACACGAAGGCCAGGGGAGCAAACGGG
rnacentral:rRNA from 1 species